GAUGAACGCUGGCGGCGUGCCUAAUACAUGCAAGUCGAGCGAACAGGCGAGGCUCUUGCUGCUCGCUCGUUAGGCGCACAGGUGAGAAAAACAUGUGUAUACCCUACCUGUAAUAGGGAUAUAUCUUGGGGAAUGCGGCUCUUAUCCCGUAGAAGCUAUUGAUGCACGUUGUUGGAUAGUAAAAGUCGGUGGUUGGGGAUGGUAUCGCUGGUUACCCGCCUGUUUGUGGAGUAGUGGCUUACAAGGGUUUUGACGGGUAGGCGGCCUGAGAGGGUGACCGGCCACAUUGGGACUGAGAGACGGCCCAGACGCCUACGGGAGGCAGCAGUGGGGAAUAUUGCACAAUGGGCGGAAGCCUGUGGCAGCAACGCCGCGUGCGGGAUGACGGCCUACGGGUGGUAAACCGCUUUCGCCGGUGACGAAGCGUGAGUGACGGUAAUGGGUAAGGAAGCACCGGCUAACUACGUG
rnacentral:rRNA from 1 species